rnacentral:rRNA from 1 species
UGGGGAAUAUUGCACAAUGGGCGCAAGCCUGAUGCAGCAACGCCGCGUGAGGGAUGACGGCCUUCGGGUUGUAAACCUCUUUUAGCAGGGAAGAAGCGAAAGUGACGGUACCUGCAGAAAAAGCACCGGCUAACUACGUGCCAGCAGCCGCGGUAAUACGUAGGGUGCAAGCGUUGUCCGGAAUUAUUGGGCGUAAAGAGCUCGUAGGCGGUCUGUCGCGUCUGCUGUGAAAUCCCGAGGCUCAACCUCGGGCCUGCAGUGGGUACGGGCAGACUAGAGUGCGGUAGGGGAGAAUGGAACUCCUGGUGUAGCGGUGGAAUGCGCAGAUAUCAGGAAGAACACCGAUGGCGAAGGCAGUUCUCUGGGCCGUAACUGACGCCGAGGAGCGAAAGCGUGGGGAGCGAACAGGAUUAGAUACCCUGGUAGUCCACGCCGUAAACGUUGGGCGCUAGAUGUGGGGACCAUUCCACGGUUUCCGUGUCGCAGCUAACGCAUUAAGCGCCCGCCUGGGGAGUACGGCCGCAAGGCUAAAACUUAAAGGAAUUGACGGGGUCAUAGCUGUUUCCU